rnacentral:rRNA from 1 species
CAUUUAAACUGGUUGAACUCUGGAUAAUUUGUUGAUCGCAUGGUCUCGUACCGGCGACGGAUCUUUCAAAUGUCUGCCCUAUCAACUAUUGAAGGUAAUGUCUUGGAUUACCUUGGUUGCAACGGGUAACGGGGAAUCAGGGUUCGAUUCCGGAGAGGGAGCCUGAGAA